AAUCAACGCUGGCGGCGUGCCUAACACAUGCAAGUCGAACGAGAAAGGGUAGCAAUACCUGAGUAAAGUGGCGCACGGGUGAGUAACACGUGACUAACCUACCCUGGAGUGGGGAAUAACUGGAGGAAACUUCAGCUAAUACCGCAUAAUACCUACGGGUCAAAGGAGCAAUUCGCUUCAGGAGGGGGUCGCGGUCGAUUAGUUAGUUGGCGGGUAAUGGCCCACCAAGACUGUGAUCGAUAUCCGGCCUGAGAGGGCGCACGGACACACUGGAACUGAAACACGGUCCAGACUCCUACGGGAGGCAGCAGUGGGGAAUUUUGCGCAAUGGGGGAAACCCUGACGCAGCAACGCCGCGUGGAGGAAGAAGUAUUUCGGUACGUAA
rnacentral:rRNA from 1 species